rnacentral:rRNA from 1 species
UCCAGCUUGCUGGACGGAACGAGUGGCGAACGGGUGAGUAAUACGUAAGCAACCUGCCUGCAAGGACUGGGAUAACACCUGGAAACGGGCGCUAAUACCGGAUAGGUAACAAAGGGGCAUCCCUUAUGUUAUUAAAGGUUAGAAACACAAGCAGAUGGGCUUACGGUGCAUUAGCUAGUUGGUGAGGUAACGGCCCACCAAGGCGAUGAUGCAUAGCCGGCCUGAGAGGGUGAACGGCCACAUUGGGACUGAGACACGGCCAGACUCCUACGGGAGGCAGCAGUAGGGAAUUUUCGGCAAUGGACGAAAGUCUGACCGAGCAACGCCGCCGUGAGUGAAGAAGGUUUUCGGAUUGUAAAGCUCUGUUUGUAAGGGAAGAACAGCACGGAAAGAAUCCGUGAAUGACGGUACCUUACCAGAAAGCCACGGCUAACUACGUGCCAGCAGCGGC